AUACUUACCUGGCAGGAGAGAUACUAUGAUCACGAAGGUGGUUUUCCCAGGGCGAGGCUUAUCCAUUGCACUGCGGAUGUGCGAACCCCUGUGAUUUCCCCAAAUGCGGGAAACUCGUCUGCAUAAAUUGUGGUAGUGAGGGACUGCCUUCUCACUCUCCUCUG